GACGAACGCUGGCGGCGUGCUUAACACAUGCAAGUCGAACGGAAAGGCCCUGCUUUUGUGGGGUGCUCGAGUGGCGAACGGGUGAGUAACACGUGAGUAACCUGCCCUUGACUUUGGGAUAACUUCAGGAAACUGGGGCUAAUACCGGAUAGGAGCUCCUGCUGCAUGGUGGGGGUUGGAAAUUUUCGGCGGUUGGGGAUGGACUCGCGGCUUAUCAGCUUGUUGGUGGGGUAGUGGCUUACCAAGGCUUUGACGGGUAGCCGGCCUGAGAGGGUGACCGGCCACAUUGGGACUGAGAUACGGCCCAGACUCCUACGGGAGGCAGCAGGGGGGAAUAUUGCACAAUGGGCGGAAGCCUGAUGCAGCAACGCCGCGUGCGGGAUGAAGGCCUUCGGGUUGUAAACCGCUUUCGCCUGUGACGAAGCGUGAGUGACGGUAAUGGGUAAAGAAGCACCGGCUAACUACGUG
rnacentral:rRNA from 1 species